GACGAACGCUGGCGGCGUGCUUAACACAUGCAAGUCGAACGGAAAGGCCCUGCUUUUGUGGGGUGCUCGAGUGGCGAACGGGUGAGUAACACGUGAGUAACCUACCCUUGACUUUGGGAUAACUUCAGGAAACUGGGGCUAAUACCGGAUAGGAGCUCCUGCUGCAUGGUGGGGGUUGGAAAGUUUCGGCGGUUGGGGAUGGACUCGCGGCUUAUCAGCUUGUUGGUGGGGUAGUGGCUUACCAAGGCUUUGACGGAUAGCCGGCCUGAGAGGGUGACCGGCCACAUUGGGACUGAGAUACGGCCCAGACUCCUACGGGAGGCAGCAGUGGGGAAUAUUGCAAAAUGGGAGGAAGCCUGAUGCAGCAACGCCGCGUGCGGGAUGACGGCCUUCGGGUUGUAAACCGCUUUCGCCUGUGACGAAGCGUGAGUGACGGUAAUGGGUAAAGAAGCACCGGCUAACUACGUG
rnacentral:rRNA from 1 species